rnacentral:miRNA from 1 species
GUGCGUGUUGAUGAAAAAUU